rnacentral:rRNA from 1 species
GCGAGCGGAACCACAGAUUUACUUCGGUAAUGACGUUGGGAAAGCGAGCGGCGGAUGGGUGAGUAACACGUGGGGAACCUGCCCCUAAGUCUGGGAUACCAUUUGGAAACAGGUGCUAAUACCGGAUAAUAAAGCAGAUCGCAUGAUCAGCUUUUGAAAGGCGGCGUAAGCUGUCGCUAAGGGAUGGCCCCGCGGUGCAUUAGCUAGUUGGUAAGGUAACGGCUUACCAAGGCGACGAUGCAUAGCCGAGUUGAGAGACUGAUCGGCCACAUUGGGACUGAGACACGGCCCAAACUCCUACGGGAGGCAGCAGUAGGGAAUCUUCCACAAUGGACGCAAGUCUGAUGGAGCAACGCCGCGUGAGUGAAGAAGGUUUUCGGAUCGUAAAGCUCUGUUGUUGGUGAAGAAGGAUAGAGGUAGUAACUGGCCUUUAUUUGACGGUAAUCAACCAGAAAGUCACGGCUAACUACGUGCCAGCAGCCGCGGUAAUACGUAGGUGGCAAGCGUUGUCCGGAUUUAUUGGGCGUAAAGCGAGCGCAGGCGGAAAAAUAAGUCUAAUGUGAAAGCCCUCGGCUUAACCGAGGAACUGCAUCGGAAACUGUUUUUCUUGAGUGCAGAAGAGGAGAGUGGAACUCCAUGUGUAGCGGUGGAAUGCGUAGAUAUAUGGAAGAACA